AGUGGAAUUGCUAGGUCAUAUGGUUUUCUUGUUUAACCUUUGGAGGAACUGCCAGACUGUUUUCCAAAGCAACUGCACCAUUUACAUUCCCAUCAGCAAU
rnacentral:pre_miRNA from 1 species